GACGAACGCUGGCGGCGUGCUUAACACAUGCAAGUCGAACGAUGAAGAAGAGACACGCGAACUUCGGUUCAAAUUUCACUUCGGAUUAGUGGCAGACGGGUGAGUAACGCGUGAGCAACCUACCUCUUACAAAGGGAUAGCCUCGGGAAACCGUGAUUAAUACCAUAUGACACAUUCAUAAGGCAUCUUAAGAAUGUUAAAGCUACGGCGGUAAGAGAUGGGCUCGCGUCCCAUUAGCUAGUUGGUGAGGUAACGGCCCACCAAGGCGACGAUGGGUAACCGGCCUGAGAGGGUGAACGGUCACAUUGGAACUGAGACACGGUCCAAACUCCUACGGGAGGCAGCAGUGGGGAAUAUUGCACAAUGGAGGGAACUCUGAUGCAGCGACGCCGCGUGAGCGAUGAAGGAAUUCGUUUCGUAAAGCUCUGUUCUAUGGGAAGAAAAGGACUGUACCAUAGGAGAAAGCCCCGGCUAAAUACGU
rnacentral:rRNA from 1 species